GAUGAACGCUAGCGACAGGCCUAACACAUGCAAGUCGAGGGGCAGCGCGGAGUAAGCUUGCUUGUUCUGGCGGCGACCGGCGCACGGGUGCGUAACAGGUGUGCAAUCUGUCCAUAAUCGGGGAAUAGCCCAGCGAAAGUUGGAUUAAUGCUCCGUGUGAGCCGAGGAGGCAUCUCUUUGGUUUGAAACGUAAGGAUUAUGGGUGAGCACGCUUCUGAUUAGGUAGUUGGUGAGGUAACGGCUCACCAAGACGACGAUCAGUAGGGGUUCUGGGAGGAAGGUCCCCCACAUUGGAACUGAGACACGGUCCAAACUCCUACGGGAGGCAGCAGUGGGGAAUAUUGGUCAAUGGACGCAAGUCUGAACCAGCCAAGUCGCGUGAAGGAUGAAGGUUCUAUGGAUUGUAAACUUCUUUUGUCUGAGGGUAAAAAAGCGGACGUGUCCGUUCUUGCAAGUAUCAGACGAAUAAGCAUCGGCUAACUCCGUGCCAGCCGCCGCGGUAAAAC
rnacentral:rRNA from 1 species